UACGGAGGGUGCGAGCGUUGUCCGGAAUCAUUGGGCGUAAAGGGCGCGUAGGUGGCGGGACAAGCGUGCGGUGAAAGCUCGGGGCUCAACCCCGAGUCGGCCGUGCGAACUGUUUUGCUUGAGCACUGUAGAGGCAGGCGGAAUUCCGGGUGUAGCGGUGGAAUGCGUAGAGAUCCGGAAGAACACCGGUGGCGAAGGCGGCCUGCUGGGCAGUGGCUGACACUGAAGCGCGACAGCGUGGGGAGCAAACAGG
rnacentral:rRNA from 1 species